GACGAACGCUGGCGGCGUGCUUAACACAUGCAAGUCGAACGGUAAGGCCCUUCGGGGUACACGAGUGGCGAACGGGUGAGUAACACGUGGGUGAUCUGCCCUGCACUUCGGGAUAAGCCUGGGAAACUGGGUCUAAUACCGGAUAGGACCACUGCCUGCAUGGGUGGUGGUGGAAAGCUUUUGCGGUGUGGGAUGGGCCCGCGGCCUAUCAGCUUGUUGGUGGGGUGAUGGCCUACCAAGGCGACGACGGGUAGCCGGCCUGAGAGGGUGACCGGCCACACUGGGACUGCGAUACGGCCCAGACUCCUACGGGAGGCAGCAGUGGGGAAUAUUGCACAAGGGGCGCAAGCCUGAUGCAGCGACGCCGCGUGAGGGAUGACGGCCUUCGGGUUGUAAACCUCUUUCAGCACCGACGAAGCGCAAGUGACGGUAGGUGCAGAAGAAGGACCGGCCAACUACGUGCCAGCCGCCGCCGUAAGAC
rnacentral:rRNA from 1 species